UUCCUAAUUAGUCAUUAAGAACAAAUGAUGGAAAACUGUGAUGUAAUCCCAUAUAUCAGCCAGCUGGAUCGAUCUAAGACAACCACGCACUGGAGAAGGGAGAUUAGAUAAACAUGGACACAG
rnacentral:lncRNA from 1 species